UAUGCAUAAUGUAUACAUACAUACACACACAAAUGUGGUAGGAGGCUUCCUUCCCAAUCACGUGGUUCCGGGUUGAGUCCCACUGCGUGGAAACUUGGGCAAAUGUUCUUUUUUUUACUAUUGCUUUGAGCUUGACACUCGCAUGACAAUCGAUGUUGGUGUUUUUACGUCCUGGUAACUUAGUUUUCGGGAAAAAGUGUCCGAUAGAGUAAGUACCAGGGAGUCGAUUCAUUCAGAUAAAACAUUAAAGGUAGUAGAACAGCAUGGCCGCAGUCUAAUGAGUGUGGCAAGCAAAAGUAAAAAUAAAGGGAAAAAUACUUUAGUUUUCAUCUAUGUUGUGAAAUUGAACUUGGAAGCACAACAAAUAUGAAUCUGCCGAUUUAUAGCUCAAUAUCCUGAGACGAAUGGAAGCUCGUACAUAAGUAUUAUUUAUAUUUAAUAUCUAUCUCUUCCUGAAUGUAGUACCUCUUAUUCAAAUUCCGCCGAAGUCGACUUUGCUUUCAUCCUUCCAGGGUCGAUGAAUUAAGUACCAGUUGUGAUCUAAUGGACUAGCUCCUCCCCCAAAAUAGCGGGCUUUGUGCCUAGAAGAGAAAAGAAUGUAUUAGCUUUUUAUGGUAAUAAUAGCCUCUGUUUAGCAUACUUGAUGAUAUAUUGUACAACAUCAUGAUUGGUUAGUAGAAAGUACGUAAAAGCUAUUUUCAACAUGUAAAAGUUAAAUUUUCAUUGGAAGAUAUUGGUACGUUUUGACAACACAUUAACGUUAAUCGGAUAAAUUUAAGAAUGUUUUAUUUUCUCUAAUAAUGACGUGAAUUCUUUUCGAUUAUUUUUUAUAUGACUGAAGUUAUUUAAAUAUGUACUUCAAUGAAAAAUGAAAGAGUUUUCGUAAAUAUGAACAAUCAUAAAAAUUGACAAUACAUCUACUCCGUAUAUAUAUCAAUAUCUACAUAAGAAUUAAGACGGCGAGGUGGCAGAAACGUUAGUACGCCGGGCGAAAUGUCCAGCGGUAUUUUGUUUGUGCUUAUCUUUUGAGUUCAAAUUCCGCUGUGGCCGAUUUUGCCUUUCAUCCUUUCGGGGUCGAUAAAUUAAGUACUAACUGGGGUCGAUCUAAUCGACUGCUGCCUACCUCCCCCAAACUUUCAGGCCUUGUGCCUAGAGUAGAAAAGAAUAUUUAUUUGAUACUUCAAGCUCAGAUACAAGUAACGAAGUUUUGCAAAUGUGUCGCAAAGAAACUUUAAGUACCAUCGCAAUAAGUCACUGACGAUUCAGUUUGAAGAACAGAAUAUAUGUUUGAACACAUUACACCCAAAAUGUAAUGAAUAUUUCAAUCUAUUACAUAAAAUCAAGUGUAAGCAUUCCCCAAAUAAACAGGCUCAAUCGAGAAAACAAGUGUACUCUACACCAAUUAGAUCCUCAAUUACCCGAAAUAAGGUUAGAAGCGAAUUAAUACUGGCUACAGCAGUUGUUUGUAAAUUAAUUUAUUAAUUAUUUCAAUAAAAAACAAUAAAAACA